ensembl:lncRNA
CUCAGCUUGGCAGGGGCAGGACACAGACUCCCUUGUUUUCCUGAUGUCUCGUUGUCAAGAGCUCCAUACUGUGGUUCAGCCCGGUCAGAAUGAAACACAUUGAGCACCGGUACAUUCCAAGAUGACACAUUUAUUGGUCUACAAAAGUAGUCGUUUUAACAGAAGCAAGAGAAAUGAAAAUGUUUGAAGAGGAAGAGAGCACAACUAGUGGAAUUACUCCUUUAAUGAACACAAACAAAACAUGCUCUAAAAGCUAAAUGUUGCAAUUCUCCAUGAAUGACUCAACUUGGUUUCAUUCAGUUAGGAAAUAGUGUCUAAUAAGUCUGCGUGUCCCAAAUGACACACUAUUCCCUACAUAGUGCACUACAUUUGACCAGUUGAAAGUAGUGCUCUAUAUAAAGGAAUAGAUUGCCCUUUGGGACACAGACAAAGAGUUGUAUUGCUCCUAUGGGACUGGUUAUAUGAAAACCCAGAAUAGAGAAUGAACCUGUUAACCAGGGAUCUUCUUUCCUGAGUCAGUCAGUCAGACAACACUAGCUACAUCAGACAAAAACAACCCCUUUACAUGCUGUAGCAGACAGGCUUCUUUUACACUGGAUUUGGUCAAACUUCUCAUCCUAAAUCCUAUAUCCUCAUCUGAUGUCAAUUGGUGAGAGAACAACUUGAUCAAACCUAACUUUAUAGAUAAUGCUUUUGAAUUACAAGACUCAUCUUUUAAUAUUUAAUUUAACAGGCACUGUUUUAAAAAAAAUAUGAAAAUGUCCUUGUUCUUAACAAAUGAAAAGGGAAACUCUAUAGUACAACAUCAACAGCACAACCUAACCUACAUAUGACACUCCAUAAUAACUACAGUUUGCUUUUCCAAAAAAGCUAUAAUAAAUUACUGCAUGACACCCUAUUCCCUAUGUACCGUAGUGCACUACUUUGAACCAGGGCCCAUAGAGCUCUGGUCAAAAGAAGUGUCACUUGUAAGGAAUAGGGUACCAUUUGGUACAUACCCAUUGACUCGGGCCUUUUCCUUCCAACAGCAGUUUAAUGCUUCACUAGGCUAUAACACCACUGGUAGAAAGAACAAAAAGACAUCUCACAUGUUUUGUAAAGUCUAAAAACAAAAAGUAGGAAAACCUAUAACCUUGGCUUCUCAGAUAUACAAUAUGCUCAGAUAGUACUUGUAUUCAACAACCAGACCGGGGUUCAAUUACUACUUGAAAUCUUUCAAAAACAUUCAGUUUGCUCUCGUCUAGUAUGCCUGGAGUGCCUGAUGGGCGGGGCUUGCAGUCCUUGUGACUAUUCUAUUGGUUCCAUUGUGCCAGUCAAGCUCAGAUAAAGUAUUUGAAAUUAUAUAGUAUUUAAACCCAGGUCUGUCAACAACACAGGUGUACCGAAACGCUUUGCCUAUAAAGCACAGACACAUUUUCUCAUGUAAAAACCAAGGCCAUGUUCAAAAUAUGUAGAAAAUCCGAAGGCAUGUUAACAUCAUCAGAUUACAAUCGGGGAGCAACGACAUUCAGUUCAAACCAAAAAUCUUAUUUUUAUAAAGUCUUACUUGUUUUCCUGCUGUUUUUCUGAGGCCAUUGUAGGUCAGAGUGGGUUGAAUGGUAUUUGUGUUGUGGCAGGCUGCAGCUGUAGCCCCAAGGGCUGAGAUCAAUCCAACACGCACUGCAGGUAUUUCACAUUGUGGAAAAGUCCUACUAGCUCCUGUGUUCCAGCAAUACACCAUCUCAUUCAAAUCCAAUAACAGUAACUCAUUUCAAUCAAAUCCAAACCUGAUUUCUUCCAAUUAGCAUUGAUUGAUUCAUCAGUAUUCAUGCCGUUGUUUUUGUAAAAAGACCAAUGUAAUGGGUUUUUUCUGUACUGCAUGUUUGCUUGAAUGUCAGUCCUAUUAGAGGAGUUAGGAUCAUGGGACACAAAGUUACAAAACAAGCCUUUCUUGGGGCUUAUUCAGUAGUGGGGCGGCAGGGUAGCCUAGUGGUUAGAGCAUUGGACUAGUAACCGAAAGGUUGCAAGUUCAUAUCCCCGAGCUGACAAGGUACACAUCUGUCGUUCCGCCCCUGAACAGGCAGUUAACCCACUGUUCCUAGGUGUCAUUGAAAAUAAGAAUUUGUUCUUAACUGACUUGCCUAGUUAAAUAAAGGUACAAUUUAAAGGCUGCACCAUUUACUAGGCCAUUGCAGAUAGAGAUAUUUCACACAAUAUAUUUCUAUGUAAAUGUUGUUGUGCCCCUCCAGAAUAAGCCCCUGCCCCAUGUUGUGAAUCAGGAAGUGUUUGUGUUAUCUCCCUCCCCAUGUUCUUCCUGGAUAUACAGCACCACGGGAGUGACUGACCUCUCAAGUUGACCCCUGGACCACAACUGACAGGCUGAACGACAGGCGAGAUGCUAGAGUGACAUGUAUGACAUUAUUAAGAAUAGAACACGUAUUUUAUUCUGCCUCGUGGUUUUAACCACAAUUUGGUCUUUUAUACAUAGAUGUGUUAUUAGGUCUCUUAAGGAUUUCCAAUGUGAAUCAUAUAGGCCUACUUAUUUUCCCAUGGGGCAACUGGAUAUUUGUUUGUAUUUAAAAUUAAGUAGUUUCACUAGGGAUGUUUUCCCACUCACUACAGUCAGAAGUUGUGGUUUCACUAGGGAUGUUUUCC